rnacentral:rRNA from 1 species
GGUCCCAAGCGUUGUUCGNAAUCANUGGGCGUAAAGGGAGCGUAGGCGGCGUGGUAAGUCAGAUGUGAAAUCCCGGGGCUCAACCCCGGAAACUGCAUCNGAUACUGCCAUGCUAGAGGAUUGGAGAGGUAGCCGGAAUUCUUGGUGUAGCAGUGAAAUGCGUGGAUAUCAAGAGGAACACUCGUGGCGAAAGCGAGCUACUGGACAAUUCCUGACGCUGAGGCUCGAAGGCUAGGGUAGCGAAAGGGAUUAGAUACCCCUGUAGUCCUAGCAGUAAACGGUGCACGCUUGGUGUGAGGGGAAUCGACCCCCCUUGUGCCGGAGCUAACGCGUUAAGCGUGCCGCCUGGGAAGUACGGUCGCAAGACUAAAACUCAAAGAAAUUGACGGGGACCCGCACAAGCGGUGGAGUAUGUGGCUUAAUUCGAUGCAACGCGAAGAACCUUACCAAGGCUUGACAUGCAUCUCUAAGCGCGUGAAAGCGCGUGACCCUUCGGGGAAUUUGCACAGGUGCUGCAUGGCCGUCGUCAGCUCGUGUCGUGAGAUGUUGGGUUAAGUCCCGCAACGAGCGCAACCCUUGUGAUUAGUUGCCAGCACGUAAUGGUGGGAACUCUAGUCAGACUGCCCAGAUCAACUGGGAGGAAGGUGGGGACGACGUCAGGUCAGUAUGGCCCUUACGCCUUGGGCUGCACACGUACUACAAUGCCCAGCACAAUGAGAACCGAUACCGCGAGGUGGAGGAAAUCUGCAAAACUGGGCCCAGUUCGGAUUGGAGGCUGCAACUCGCCUCCAUGAAGUUGGAAUCGCUAGUAAUGCCGUAUCAUCUACGACGGCGUGAAUACGUUCCCGGGUCUUGUACACACCGCCCGUCACAUCAUGGAAGCCGGUCGCACCCGAAGUGCUCGUGCCAACCGCAAGGAGGCAGAGUCCUAAGGUGUAGCUGGUAACUGGGAUG